rnacentral:rRNA from 1 species
UACGCGAAGAACCAUACCAGGGCUUGACAUGUANGUGAAGCGGCGGANACAUNGUGGCCGAAANGAACAUACACAGGUGGCGCAUGGCUGUNNUCAGCUCGUGUCGUGAGAUGNUAGUUUANGUCNUGCAACGAGCGCNACCCUCGUCCUAUAUUUCCAGCGUUUCGCCCGGNCACNUAUAGGAGACCGCUGGACUCAAUCCGGAGGAAGGUGGGGAAGAUNUCANGUNAUCAUGCCCUAUAUGUCGUGGGAUACACACGUGACACUAUGCCCGGCACAAUGANCUGCCAACCCGCAAGGGCGAGGGUAUCUUUAAACCCGUUCCCAGUUCGGAUUGGAGGUUCCAAUCGGCNUCCAUGAAGUGGGAUUUGUUAUUAUUCCCGGAUCAGCAAGCAGCNGUGNAUGGUUUCCA